rnacentral:lncRNA from 1 species
CUUGGUAGGAUAUUUACCAAGUGCAAUUCCAACCCCUCCCCCUGCACCCUCACCAAGUCCUUGCAAAGGGCCGUCAGGAGGCAGCUCUCUGCACAGGUCCUCGAGGAUGAAAAUGCCACCCCCGAGAUUGCAGGAGGGACUGUCACUAGUAUGGGGCAAGGGAACCAGGAGUCCUGACAGCAGGACUCCUUGGGAUGCAUGUAGGUGUGGGGUGCUGUGGCCCCUCCGCAGUCAACCCAGGAGUGCUCUGAACACUCAUGUUUCCUAACCUAUGAACAGCGAAGCUGGCGCUGAACGGGAGGUGUCUGCACUCGGAAGAUUGGAGAAGCACCUACAGGAGCCAUGUGGGUUGCCUGAGGCAUAGAACUCAGGAGGUACCUGGUGCUCCGGGGUGCAGGCACCUUAGGGUCCACGGAGCCCAGGCCAGCCAGGGCAUCUUCUUC